rnacentral:tmRNA from 1 species
GGGGCUGAAUAGGGUUCGACGAAAUUUAUUGAUCUUGUAACAGCAUGUCGAGUGGAUUUCUCGUUUAAAAAUCCGAAAAAAUAGUUGCAAACACAAAAAAGUACACGUACGCGCAAGCAGCUUAACUAUUCUUUAAGAGUAGUGUAGUUUUCGUGUCCUACUUAUCUUUCUCUUCGAAAAGUAGGGGUCAAGAAGAAGGGAUCGCAUACAGUUUUUCUUAUCGUUCUGAUAUGCAAAAAUUAGAUAAGAUAGUCAGAUGUUUCAGAAAAGUUUACUUAAGUACUUCUGAUAAAUAAAUCAGUAAACUAAACAUGUAGAAGUAAAAAGUGAAAAGUUUCGGACGCGGGUUCAAAUCCCGCCAGCUCCAUGA